UACAGAGGGUGCGAGCGUUAAUCGGAAUUACUGGGCGUAAAGGGCUCGUAGGCGGCCAACUAAGUCAGACGUGAAAUCCCUCGGCUUAACCGGGGAACUGCGUCUGAUACUGGAUGGCUUGAGUUUGGGAGAGGGAUGCGGAAUUCCAGGUGUAGCGGUGAAAUGCGUAGAUAUCUGGAGGAACACCGGUGGCGAAGGCGGCAUCCUGGACCAACACUGACGCUGAGUGAGCGAAAGCCAGGGGAGCGAACGGG
rnacentral:rRNA from 1 species